rnacentral:rRNA from 1 species
GAGUUUGAUCCUGGCUCAGAACGUACGCUGGCUGCACGCCUAACACUUGCAAGUCGAACGCAGUAGCAAUACUGAGUGGCAGACGGGUGAGUAACAUGUGGGAAUCUGCCUUGUGGUUCAGGACGACAUUGGGAAACCGAUGCUAAUACUGGAUAAGCCCUUACGGGGAAAGUUUUAAUGCCAUAAGAUGAGCCCGCAUUUGAUUAGUUAGUUGGUGAGGUAAUGGCUCACCAAGACAAUGAUCAAUAGCUGAUCUGAGAGGAUGAUCAGCCACACUGGGACUGAGACACGGCCCAGACUCCUACGGGAGGCAGCAGUGGGGAAUCUUGCACAAUGGAGGAAACUCUGAUGCAGCGAUGCCGCGUGAGUGAAGAAGGCCUUUGGGUUGUAAAGCUCUUUUGUAGGGGAAGAUAAUGACUGUACCCUAAGAAUAAGGUCCGGCUAACUUCGUGCCAGCAGCCGCGGUAAUACGAAGGGACCUAGCGUAGUUCGGAAUUACUAGGCGUAAAGCGCGCGUAGGCCGUUGAGUUAGUUAAUUGUGAAAUCCCAAAGCUUAACUUUGGAACUGCAAUUAAAACUGCUCGACUAGAGUUUGAUAGAGGAAAGCGGAAUACAUAGUGUAGAGGUGAAAUUCGUAGAUAUUAUGUAGAACACCAGUUGCGAAGGCGGCUUUCUGGAUCAACACUGACGCUGAGGCGCGAAAGUAUGGGUAGCAAAGAGGAUUAGAUACCCUCGUAGUCCAUACCAUAAACGAUGAUUGCUAGAUGUUGGAAAUUUAUUUUCAGUAUCGCAGCUAACGCAUUAAGCAAUCCGCCUGGGGAGUACGACCGCAAGGUUAAGACUCAAAUGAAUUGACGGGGACCCGCACAAGCGGUGGAGCAUGUGGUUYAAUUCGAAGAUACGCGCAGAACCUUACCAACCCUUGACAUGUCUGUCGCGAGUUUAGGAAACUAGACUUUUCGGUUCGGCCGGACAGAACACAGGUGCUGCAUGGCUGUCGUCAGCUCGUGUCGUGAGAUGUUGGGUUAAGUCCCGCAACGAGCGCAACCC